rnacentral:rRNA from 1 species
GACGAACGCUGGCGGCGUGCUUAACACAUGCAAGUCGAACGGAAAGGCCCUGCUUUUGUGGGGUGCUCGAGUGGCGAACGGGUGAGUAACACGUGAGUAACCUGCCCUUGACUUUGGGAUAACUUCAGGAAACUGGGGCUAAUACCGGAUAGGAGCUCCUGCUGCGUGGUGGGGGUUGGAAAGUUUCGGCGGUUGGGGAUGGACUCGCGGCUUAUCAGCUUGUUGGUGGGGUAGGGGCUUACCAAGCCUUUGACGGGUAGCCCGCAUGAGAGGGUGACCGGCCACCUUGGGCCUGCGGUACGGCCCAGUCUCCAACGGGAGGCAGCAGGCGGGAGUAUUGCACAAUGGGCGCACGCGUGUGGCGGCGGCCCUCCGUGCGGGAAGACGGCCUUCGGGUUGUGAACCGCUUUCGCCUGUGACGAAGCGUGAGUGACGGUAAUGGGUAAAGAAGCACCGGCUAACUACGUG